UUAUCAGUUGGAAAUUUGGUUUAAUUUCCAUCAUUGAAGUUGAAACUCGUACUUCUUGGACAUGAAGUCAUAAUGAGAGGUUUCGUAAGAAAUCAACUCCUUCAAUUAUUGUUGCUUCGUCAGUGGCGUCAAGUAGUCCGAAUUCUGUUCCACUCACAAAUUUGUCUCCAGAAAAUUCUUCACAAGCCUCAGAUGACGUCACUGAUCUCAAUUACUCCCAAGGGUCUGGCAACCAUGGUCGUGGUGUCCGUAAUGGUCGAGGAGGUGGUCGUAGUACCUUGGAUGUCAAGUGUGUCAUACGUAUGACCAUGAUGC
rnacentral:lncRNA from 1 species